UACAAUAUUUGAUGCUUUGUCUUAUUAAAAAAAUUUUAUGAUUAAUAUUUUUGUUUUUAUUAGAUGAAAAAUCAUGAAUAGUGCUUUACGUGUGACUAACUUUCUUUUUCAAUUUUUUGAAAAAUUUUCAAAUAAGACGGGUGAUUAAACGCUAGACACAAAUGGUCA
rnacentral:pre_miRNA from 1 species